UACGUAGGGGGCUAGCGUUGUCCGGAAUCAUUGGGCGUAAAGAGCGUGUAGGCGGUCCGGUAAGUCCGUUGUGAAAGUCAGGGGCUCAACCCUUGAAUGCCGGCGGAUACUGUCGGGCUAGAGUCCGGAAGAGGCAAGUGGAAUUCCCGGUGUAGCGGUGAAAUGCGUAGAGAUCGGGAAGAACAUCGGUGGCGAAAGCGCUCUGCUGGACUGCAACUGACACUCAGGGACGAAAGCUAGGGGAGCGAAUGGG
rnacentral:rRNA from 1 species